rnacentral:lncRNA from 1 species
UAAAGUGCAUGCUUAAUUAUCGGAAGAAAUAAAAUCAAGAAGUUGUUAACUCAAUCCUGCAUGCUGAUUUGUAAUUACAGUAGAUUGGAGUAAGGAUUGGAUCCGGCACUAAAAGACUUCAAGAAGUGGCUUAUUUUAUUAAUUAAAUCAAAUUAAGAAAUAUUGUUUUUUUUUUAUUAAAAGCUACCUUUGUAAAACAUGGAAUUUAUUCCAUCUAUUUAAAUAAAAUCCGGUGUUUCUAAACUCUGAUAUUUUGCCUAACUCAUGGUCCUGAUGAAAUUUCCGCUGCAAUGUUUUUCAAAAUAAUCACCGGUACCACUGGACUGAUCGCGACUUCCGAUUCCGGCCAGGAUGGGAUCGGGGGUCGUGUCACGGAACAUCCAAUAUAUGUGAAGAGGAAGGACAUUAUGAAAAGAUCACAUCAUCAUUAAAGAAGUGGCCACGACUGCAAACAACAAAAGAAAUAGACAUAUUGAAUUGUGGCGUACGGAUUCAACAUGGGACUUACGGCGCGAAACAAAAGCAUGCACGUGAUUUUUUUAGGUGGACUUCUUGGACUCUCGAUAUUGGGCAGCCAUAAUUAAUAAUUGUGGGCUCUCAAAACAAAACAACAUCACCAUCCUUCAUCAUGAUUUAUUAGAGGCCACAUAACACACUAGGUGGGCUUUUAGUGAAUAAUUAACAUCAUCAUUGUU